CAGGCUUGAGUGUUCUUUCCUUUCUCAAUCCUCACUCCCCAACUCAGUCAUGUUCAUGUUGUGACAGCUGGAAUGCCACAAGUGGUACCUGAACAGGGACCUGAGUACUGAGGGACCCAGUGAAAGACACCGCUGGAUAAAGAAUAAAAGGAGAUCUCGACAAAAAGAAAAAAAGAGGACCUUCAAAAGGAAGGCAAAAGAGGAACGCCCUAUAUUAAUGAACCUCACCAGAGGACCCACAGAGUAUGUUAACCAGGCCUGGGAG
rnacentral:lncRNA from 1 species